rnacentral:rRNA from 1 species
ACGUAAGGGGCGAGCGUUGUUCGGAUUAACUGGGUGUAAAGGGUCCGCAGGUGGCUUGGUAAGUCGAGAGUGAAAUCCCGUGGCUCAACCGCGGAACUGCUCUUGAUACUGCCGAGCUUGAGUUCGAGAGAGGUAGGCAGAAUUCCCGGUGUAGCGGUGAAAUGCGUAGAUAUCGGGAGGAAUACCAGUGGCAAAGGCGGCCUACUGGCUCGUAACUGACACUCAUGGACGAAGGCGUGGGGAGCAAACAG